rnacentral:rRNA from 1 species
AACGAACGCUGGCGGCAUGCCUAACACAUGCAAGUCGAACGAGACCUUCGGGUCUAGUGGCGCACGGGUGCGUAACGCGUGGGAACCUGCCUUUAGGUUCAGAAUAACGCCUCGAAAGGGGUGCUAAUACCGAAUAAUGUCUUCGGACCAAAGAUUUAUCGCCUUUAGAUGGGCCCGCGUUGGAUUAGCUAGUUGGUGGG